UUACCUGGUCCGGACAUCAAAAGGAUAGACAGACUGCCAGAUCUUUCUUGAUAUGGUGAUUGGUGGUGCAUGGCCGUUCUUAGUUCGUGGAGUGAUCUGUCAGGCCAAUCCCGGUAACGAACGAGCCCACAUUCUCCAUUUGACGAGCCGGAGAAGGCCGUGGUAAUGGAAAUUUUUGUUUACAAAAGUUUCUGCUAUCAUUGUUGAAGGCAUCGUAUAGUUGCCAAGGGUGUAUUGGUUGAGGUGGCAACAUCAAGGCUGAUGCAUUUGAGGUAAUCUGUGCGCUCCCUCCGGCUUAGCAGGGCAUGUCUUGAAAGAGUAGUGUAUGGGAGAAUGGAGAGAAAAAGGAAAAGAGGGUAAAAAGAAGAGGAAGGGGGGCGAUAACAGGGAUGUGAUGACCGGAGAUGUUAAGAGCGGCACGCGAGCUAAAAU
rnacentral:rRNA from 1 species